GCCCGGGUGGCGGAAUUGGUAGACGCUACGGACUUAAAAUCCGUUUUGCUAACGCAAGUGCGAGUUCGAGUCUCGCCCCGGGCACCA
rnacentral:tRNA from 1 species